rnacentral:rRNA from 2 species
UCUGGUGUCAGCCGCCGCGGUAAAACCAGCACCUCGAGUGGUCAGGAGGUUUAUUGGGCCUAAAGCAUCCGUAGCCGGUUGUUUAAGUUUUCGGUUAAAUCUAUGCGCUUAACGUAUAGGCUGCCGAAAAUACUGGACAGCUAGGGAGUGGGAGAGGUACACGGUACUCAAUAGGAAGGGGUAAAAUCCUUUGAUCUGUUGAUGACCACCUGUGGCGAAGGCGGUGUACCACAACCCGUUCGACGGUGAGGGAUGAAAGCUGGGGGAGCAAACCGGAUUAUAUACCCGGGUAGUCCCAGCUGUAAACGAUGCAAACUCGGUGAUGCAUUGGCUUGUGGCCAAUGCGGUGCCGCAAGAAACCCGAUAAGUCUGCCGCCUGGGAAGUACGCACGCAAGUCUGACACAUGAAG